rnacentral:rRNA from 1 species
UACGUAGGGGGUGAGCGUUAUCCGGAAUUAUUGGGUGUAAAGGGCGCGUAGGCGGGGCAGCAGGUCAGUCGUGAAAUACCGAGGCUCAACUUCGGGGUUGCGAUUGAAACUGUUGUUCUUGAGUGUCGGAGAGGAAAGCGGAAUUCCUAGUGUAGCGGUGAAAUGCGUAGAUAUUAGGAGGAACACCAGUGGCGAAGGCGGCUUUCUGGACGAUAACUGACGCUGAGGCGCGAAAGUGUGGGGAGCAAAC